CCUACGGGGGGCAGCAGUGAGGAAUAUUGGUCAAUGGACGAGAGUCUGAACCAGCCAAGUAGCGUGAAGGAUGACUGCCCUAUGGGUUGUAAACUUCUUUUAUAUGGGAAUAAAAUGUUCCACGUGUGGGAUUUUGUAUGUACCAUAUGAAUAAGGAUCGGCUAACUCCGUGCCAGCAGCCGCGGUAAUACGGAGGAUCCGAGCGUUAUCCGGAUUUAUUGGGUUUAAAGGGAGCGUAGGUGGAUUGUUAAGUCAGUUGUGAAAGUUUGCGGCUCAACCGUAAAAUUGCAGUUGAAACUGGCAGUCUUGAGUACAGUAGGGGUGGGCGGAAUUCGUGGUGUAGCGGUGAAAUGCUUAGAUAUCACGAAGAACUCCGAUUGCGAAGGCAGUUCACUGGACUGCAACUGACACUGAGGCUCGAAAGUGUGGGUAUCAAACAGGAUUAGAUACCCUUGUAGUC
rnacentral:rRNA from 1 species